rnacentral:lncRNA from 1 species
GGGGCGACAAGAUCGAUUCUUUAGAUUUAUAAGUGAAAGCCAACAGGAUACUAUUAAUUGUGUCCUAAGUUUUUACCAAAUAAAAAAGAUUGUGUCCUAAGUGAGCCUUUCGGUACUUAGGUCCCAGUGAUUCGUGAGUGCUUUUCGAGACAACUUUGCGUCUUGUGCCAUCUAUUGGAAUCAAUAGCCAUUUGUAAAGCUUUCUUGCUGGCAUUCAGCAUUGGUACAGAUGAAGAAUUAUUGCUUUUAUUUGUUUUCACAGUGCAAUGACAGAGAGACAAUAGAAGCCUUGAGUGUAAAAGCCCUUCCCGGAUCUGGAC